UACGUAGGGUGCGAGCGUUGUCCGGAAUUAUUGGGCGUAAAGAGCUCGUAGGCGGCCGGUUGCGUCUGCUGUGAAAUCCCGGGGCUUAACCCCGGGCGUGCAGUGGAUACGGGCUGGCUGGAGGCAGGCAGGGGAGAAUGGAAUUCCCGGUGUAGCGGUGAAAUGCGUAGAUAUCGUAAGGAAGACCAGUGGCGAAGGCGGGUCUCUGGACAGUUCCUGACGCUGAGGCACGAAGGUCAGGGGAGCAAACGGG
rnacentral:rRNA from 1 species